UGCCGGGCGGUGCCGGCGCCCGCUCUGGCCGUGGAGUGGUGCUGCCGCUGGGCUGUCUCGCUUGGUUGUGCCUCGGCAGGCGCCUUUCUUUAAUCCCGAUGACAUCAGCAGUUCCUGCGGUUUGCACAUGGGCAGCAAAGGAGUUUUAAGUGACAUAAAAAAAUAAGGGGCAUCAGAGAAUCACUACCGAGGUUUUUGCUUUGCCUGGAGUGGCUGAGGGCUGCCAUCUGUGGGAAGUGUCGUGCGGUAUAUCCAGGAUCUCACCGUGACACAAGAGACCAGGUGGAGGGAUGGGUUGGAGCUCUGAAGAGGAAAGGUGAGCUGGCCCGGAGGGGAAGAAAGUAACAGCAGACAACAAACUGCAGAAAUGGAGAAGAAAAUACUGAAGUUCAAAAGAGGGUGAUAGAAAUUCAUUGAAGUGAAAGUGGAAAGAACCCAAUAAAUUGAAAACAGGCCUUUAAAAGAGGGAAGAAAGGUUUGAAAUGGCAGGUGAGAAGGACUGAAGUAAAUAGGCAGGAAUUAUGACAGCAGGUAUGACAGCUUCAGAGGUGGAGACAGGGAAAUGGGGAAAGAAAAAUCAGAGUAGAGGGUCAAAGAGGUAAUAGCACUGUGAACAGUGAGGUCAGUAACAGGACAGAAAAGAAACGAGCUCCUGGAGGACUGGUAGUGAUAAUUCACAUUAACAAGUCGUGGGGAGUCGUACUGAGAUACAGAGACAGGAGGAGAACUUGGGAAUCUUUAGAGGAAAAAGCAAAAGCAUGCUAAGAUUUUUUUUUGUGUCACUGGCAAGUCCCUUUAUAACCAUGUUUGUACCCUGUCAUCUCAUGAACUGUCAGCCUUUCUUUCAAGCUUGUACAUAAAGACUGCACAUUUGA